rnacentral:tRNA from 1 species
GAGGCUGUAGCUCAGUGAUAGAGUACUUGACUCCAAUGCAUGAGGUCAUGGAUUCAGCCUCU